AUAGAUAUCGAAAAUCUUUUUGUUAAAUUAUUUCAAACUGUUUCAGUCCGCCUUGUAAUCUCACAAGAACUUCUUCGUCGUGUUAUAUCACCCAACCCUCCUCUCAUUAUAUAUAUCCAUCCAUUGUAGACGAUAAAACCCUUCCACAUUUUAAAGGUCCUGUGAUCAGAGGUACGAGUUGUGUUAUAUCACCCAACCCUCCUCUCAUUAUAUAUAUAAAUCUAUACAGACACAGACUCAUCCAUCCGUAGACGUUAAAACCCCUCCACAUUUUGUGACACAUUCUAAAGGUCCUGUGAUCAGAGAUGGAAGCUGUUGUUCUGAACGAUCCAUAUGAGCGGGCAAACAUGAGGUAUUUGCUGAAGAUGAGGAAUAUCAUGAAUAUCUUUAAUGUGAAUGCUGGUGCUGAAGCUCAGGAAAUUGCCAACUUGAUGCAGCAGAAGGCAAACAUCGGAUUCCAGACAUUGCAACUGAUGUUUGCAGACACUCCUGGGCACUUUGCAGUGCUAUCUGACCUAAAUUCCUUGCUAGCACAAGUGAAAAACCGACUGGCUGAGCUAAAUAGAAGAAGAGCAUAUCGUGAACAUGCUAUGGGUAGGGUGCAAGCAAAUUUUCAGAAUCAUUUGAUUGAUGCAUCUUUUUUGGAGGUUGAUAAUUGGGGUACCGCGACGUAUGCAGUACACUUGCGUGAUGCAUAUGGAUGGAUGGGCUCAGUGUGUAUCAGCGACGAUCUUCCAGUUGAAACUCGGAAUAUGCUAAUUCAUUUGCUUGCUAAUGCCAAUUUGCUGAUCUAUGUGGUGACCGGGGAGGGUGCUAACACCCUUUUAACUCCGGCGCAUCAAUUUCCGUUCCCCAAUUGAAUUGAUUUGUUGAGGAUUUUGAUAUCUGUUGAAACUGCAUAUGAUAGUUUAGACCUACACUGGGAGAUCUGUUUAAAUCAGUGCUUUGUAAUAGCUAGUUGCCUUCCUAUUGUGAGAAUAUGUGACCGCUGUUCAAUACUUAUAAAGUAGAUCUGUUUGGUUCAACUUUGAAGAUUUGAAGAUGAUAUCUUCUGUUGUUCAAUAAAGCUAGAUAUGCAUAUUUGAACUUCUUCAGUAUGUAAAUUUUUUAAUUUCCUUCAAUGGCAUUGUCUUGUUAAA